GUCAUGCCUGCCCUGUGAAAUAAUUUUAACGGCCGCGGUAUCUUAACCGCGCGAAGGUAGCGCAAUCACUUGUCUAAUAAAUCUAGACCAGUAUGAAUGGCAAGACGAGGGCUUAACUGUCUCCUUUCUCAAGUCAAUGAAAUUGAUCCUCCCGUGCAGAAGCGGGAAUACAAACAUAAGACGAGAAGACCCUAUGGAGCUUUAGACGACAGGAUAGUCUAUGUUAAAACCUCCAAAUAAAGGAAUGAACAUUUUAGGCCCUACCCUAAUGUCUUUGGUUGGGGCGACCGCGGAGAAAAAAUAACCCUCCACGUGGAAUAAUAGAAUACAUAUUUCAUGUCAGAGCUACAGCUCUAGCAAACAGAAUUUCUGACCAUAAAGAUCCGGCCAACGCCGAUUAACGGACAGAGUUACCCUAGGGAUAACAGCGCAAUCUCCUUUUAGAGCCCAUAUCGACAAGGAGGUUUACGACCUCGAUGUUGGAUCAGGACAUCCUAAUGGUGCAGCCGCUAUUAAGGGUUCGUUUGUUCAACG
rnacentral:rRNA from 1 species